CAUUCACUCGUCAUCCGCCCGUCAUCCAGGCCGCCGCCUCUCUCUCUCUCUGUUCGAUCGUUUCAAUCCCGACGGACGCCGGGCGCCGUCGUGCCUGCCCACCCUUCACGCGGAGGACCUCCUCACGCACGCCGCCGCCGCUUGCCUCCUCCUCGUGCCCGCCUGUACAAGCGCCUCCUCCUCGCGGCCGCUGCGUCUGGUGACCUCUUCGGCGGCGGCCUGCACAGGUGCCGCCAGUCCUUGCCGCGCGCGGGUGCGGGCGACGCCGGGGCGCCACCUCCUCCCCUUGCCAUCCUGCGCCGGGCGUCCUCGCGGGCGCCAGCCUUACCGUGCACGCGGUCGUGGGCGCGCCGCCGACGGCCGGCCCUUGCUGCGCUCGCGCCUUCGGUUGCAGUGCAGGGCCUUGGGCUGUUGCAACGCGUAGUCCCAUCUGGUCAAGACUAACUUUACCGGUGUCCUCUAAAUCUCACCUCCCAAAGCAAUAUUAUAUCCUCCUUGCAUCCUCUAUAUCAAAAUUCUCUCCACCAACACUCCCUAUAUUAUAUCUUUUAUACCUCACAGUAUAAUUUUUAAUAGUUAUAUCUGAAACAAACUCCAACGUACUCUUCCCUUCCCUCCAACCAACUGAACGGUAGUUGCCGUCGGAGAGAGAAACCAGAGAGGAUGGAGGAGUUCGGGACGUCCUCUGCAUUUGGGGAGCACAGGCACCGUCCUUUAAUUUACGGAACUUUUUACGGGGUACUGAUGCAGCGUUUACAGGACCCAAUCAUCCUCUAUAAUAGUCUAAGGUUAAGCUUUUUUUGUAUUCGCUAAUGUCAGUUCACGUCGUCCCCAAUUUCAGAGAAGUCUCCAUAAUUGCAUCGAACUAGUUAAUGUGUCCAGGAUAGCAUGAGUUGCAGAUUUGUUGCUAGUGCAUCUUUACAUGGUUCCCUGAGGUAGAGUUUAGCACUUGCUGUAUAUGUUGGAUUCGUACUCUGAUUUCAGGCUUCCUUGUUUCUCAUCUUUUCAUAGUUAUCUGUUGUCUAUUGUUAGAAAUUAUUUUUGUGCAAAUUUAUUUGAUUCAAAUCUUCGAUUAAAUCUGAUUGCUGUUCGCAUGGGGAAGCGCUGACAGAAGCAUACGGCAAAACCGCAUGCUAAAUUGCUUCUGUUGAUCACAUCUUCCUGAGCAGAAACAUGGUUACGACGCAUGUUUUUUUGCAGAGUGGCUGCAUUUUCUUAUAAACUAUGAAUUGAAAUGAUGGAGGUAGUACAAAUAGUUGUGUGCCACUGUAUUUGAAAUUAAAAUUAUUCUUUUUUAGCAUAUAGCAUAUAAAAUUAUUCUGGGUAGGGAAAAGAUAAUUAAUCAAGAACUAGUGCGUUGCUUUUCUGAGUUUUCUCCCAUGCAUCCUUUACUGAUUAAAUCUUGGAAUGACAUUCGUUUUUAUUUUUUUGUCAUUCGUGCAGGGUACUGAAUGGAGGCGAACGGGUGCGUUAGCUUGGAGGAAAUUGAGGAAUAUAACUAUAUGGCAAAUCAGACCUUUAAAACGGAGAAAGAAUUCUACAUGUUUUACAAUGGUUAUGCAUUCCAUAAAGGAUUCAGUGUCAGAAAGGACAGGAUUUGGUACAAGCCUAGCACCAAGGAGGUGACAUGGAGGAGAUUUGUGUGCUCAUUUGAAGGAUACAGAAUGGAGAAGCACUUGAAAGGACGGAUCAGAAAAGAUAGCCACGUGCUCUGACCCAAUGCGGAUGUAACGCGAGGCUUGAUGUGCAGAGGAGUGCAAUCAGUGGCAUAUGGUAUGUGACUGAUUUUGUGGAUGUGCAUACACAUCCCUUUGCUAAACCAGAGCAUGCUUUUGUUUUGCGGUCGCACCGAGAGCUUAAUGAUCCUUAGAAAGCGGAGGCAGUCGAGCUGGGGCUUGGUGGGCUUUAUCCAUGCCAGAUCAUGGACAUUAUGGAGACUAGCAACGGUGGUUCGGGAGAGACUGGAUUUCUUUCGCAGGAUUUGUACAAUUUUUUUUCGAGGCGGAAGAAGGGAAAGGUACGAGGGAAUAAUGCGGAAUUCGUGAUGAUCAUAUGCGUCAGAUGGAAGAGAAAGAUCCAGAGUUUUUUUUAAGUAUAGUCUGGAUGCAGAAGGGAGGCUUAAGAAUCUUUUCUGGUCGGAUGCACAGUCUCAUAUGGAUUAUGGUGUUUUUGGAGAUGUCAUGGUAUUCGACUGAACCGGUACAAUCUUCCAUUUGUCCCUUUCAUCGGAGUUAACCAUCAUCGGAGUAUGAUUGUAUUCGGUUGCGGUAUAUUAUCGGAUGAGACUAUUGUAUCCUAUGCGUGGCUUCUUGAGGUAUUUUUGGAGGCGAUGCACCAGCAGCAUCCAAGAUCCUUAAUCACAGAUGGUUAUGCAAAAAUGGCUAGAGCAAUUGAGAUCGUCAUGCCUGCUGCAGAUCACAGAUUGUAUAGCUGGCACAUAGAGCAGAACAUGCUGAAACGAUUCCGUUGUGCGAAGCUCAGCGAUUUCAGAAAGUUCAUAUACUAUGCAAUGGAGGAAGGUGUAUUUGAUAGGCUUUGGAAAGAUUUUAGAGCUACACAUAAUAUCAAAGAAGAUAAUUUAUGGGUAAAAUGAUGUAUGAGCUAAGGAGGAAGUGGGCAGCGACGUUCACAAGAGGGAGGCAUUUCUUGGGCAUGCAAAGCAAUCAGAGGAGCGAGAGUCUGAACUCGAGGCUUCACAAUCAUUUAGACCGGUAGAUGUCCCUGGUUGAUUUAGUGGAACAUUAUGAGUAUAAAUACACAGAUAUGGCCAGAAAAAUCUUAUAAUCAAAUAGACAGCGAGGGAUUAAAUAAUCACGUCCCGCCGGAUUGAAGCAGCACUUCAAGAUGCAAGAAUCAGGCGUGCCAACGCAAGCAAAAGUUCAUAAUACUAGUCAUCCACUACUACACCAAACACCAGUAUGUUUGAGCCGCCAAGCCAGUUGAAGAAGGAAAACAACUCAAGAGGCCAUGGAACAUGUAAAUGCUCACAGAAAAUACUAGUCGAGAUAACGAAUGGGUUCAGUCAAGAUCAGAAGGAUGCCAUUACUGCAGCAGGUUUUGGUUCUUUACUAAAGUUGAAAGAACUAGAGAUUAGAAGAGACCUAUGCAAGGACAUUGCCUGCUGUUUCGACCUUGACACUGAAGAGUUCAUCAUAAAUGGAAAGAGGCUCAAGUUGAGUAUGAAAGAUGGUCAGCAUA